UACGGGGGGGGCAAGCGUUGUUCGGAAUUACUGGGCGUAAAGGGCUCGUAGGUGGCCAACUAAGUCAGACGUGAAAUCCCUCGGCUUAACCGGGGAACUGCGUCUGAUACUGGAUGGCUUGAGUUCGGGAGAGGGAUGCAGAAUUCCAGGUGUAGCGGUGAAAUGCGUAGAUAUCUGGAGGAAUACCGGUGGCGAAGGCGGCAUCCUGGACCGAGAUUGACACUGAUGAGCGAAAGCUAGGGGAGCAAACGGG
rnacentral:rRNA from 1 species